rnacentral:lncRNA from 1 species
AUUGGAAGGGAGUGGAAGAGUUUUAGUUUUAUUUCAGAUAAAAAACAUUUUGGAUUCAAUGGAACAAUGUUCCUUAAAUAAUAAAAUAAAAAUUACAACUCUUGCAUUAUUAUUAAAACUUAAGGACUUCUUUAUAAUUUUCCCACGAAAUUGGGGCACCCCAUGUGAUAAUCCCUAGUCCAACCGGGUGUGCGGACCAUUCUUUUAGAUAUCCGGCCUGGGUCGGGUUCAUGGUCGUUCAACGGAAUCAGCUCGCGUUCUUCCCCAAAUCCAAUAUAUAUUUAGGUCCUCGUCCUCCGGCGACGCUUCUCGUCUAAUGUUCUCGACGUCAACAUGAUACCGACCUAGAUCUACAAAGAGACCCAAUAAAAGAAUUGAGUAACCUGGAGAUCGAGGUUGCUCCAGAUCUGAGUGUCCGUAGACGGUCAGAUAUCCAAAGCAGAUCGCAACGGGGCCAACCCCUGAAAUUGAGACUUAGCACUGGUCGGAGGAUCGCGGUUAAGCAGUCCGAUCGUGGGCUCAAUGUGGAUUGAUAGAACAGACGGACGAAUCUUCAAAUGGUAGCUCGGAUUCCGAUGAAGAUUUGGGCAGCGUGGGAUGAUUGGUGAUGGGAUGUAUGGAGGCGCAAGAUAGGGUUGUGAAUAGUGAAUUAAAUGGAAAAUUUCAUUAAUUACUGAAUUCAAAUGUUUUGCAAUUAUUUAUAUCAAAUAGAGUUUGUAAUAAUAAAACUUGACAGGGA